CCUACGGGUGGCAGCAGUGGGGAAUUUUGGACAAUGGGCGCAAGCCUGAUCCAGCCAUGCCGCGUGUGUGAAGAAGGCCUUCGGGUUGUAAAGCACUUUCGGACGGAACGAAAUCGCGCGGGCGAAUACCCCGCGUGGAUGACGGUACCGUAAGAAGAAGCACCGGCUAACUACGUGCCAGCAGCCGCGGUAAUACGUAGGGUGCGAGCGUUAAUCGGAAUUACUGGGCGUAAAGCGUGCGCAGGUGGCGUCGCAAGUCAGGCGUGAAAUCCCCGGGCUUAACCUGGGAAUUGCGCUUGAAACUACGAUGCUGGAGUGCGGCAGAGGGAGGUGGAAUUCCACGUGUAGCGGUGAAAUGCGUAGAGAUGUGGAGGAACACCGAUGGCGAAGGCAGCCUCCUGGGUCGACACUGACGCUCAUGCACGAAAGCGUGGGGAGCAAACAGGAUUAGAUACCCUUGUAGUC
rnacentral:rRNA from 1 species